rnacentral:rRNA from 1 species
AUUGAACGCUGGCGGCAGGCCUAACACAUGCAAGUCGAGCGGAUGAAGGGAGCUUGCUCCUGGAUUUAGCGGCGGACGGGUGAGUAAUGCCUAGGAAUCUGCCUGGUAGUGGGGGAUAACGUCCGGAAACGGGCGCUAAUACCGCAUACGUCCUGCGGGAGAAAGUGGGGGAUCUUCGGACCUCACGCUAUCAGAUGAGCCUAGGUCGGAUUAGCUAGUUGGUGGGGUAAAGGCCUACCAAGGCGACGAUCCGUAACUGGUCUGAGAGGAUGAUCAGUCACACUGGAACUGAGACACGGUCCAGACUCCUACGGGAGGCAGCAGUGGGGAAUAUUGGACAAUGGGCGAAAGCCUGAUCCAGCCAGGCCGCGUGUGUGAAGAAGGUCUUCGGAGUGUAAAGCACUUUAAGUGGGGAGGAAGGGCAGUAAGUUAAUACCUUGCUGUUUUGACGGUACCAACAGAAUAAGCACCGGCUAACUUCGUG